UACGUAGGGUGCAAGCGUUGUCCGGAAUUAUUGGGCGUAAAGAGCUCGUAGGCGGUUUGUUGCGUCGGCUGUGAAAUCCCGAGGCUCAACCUCGGGUCUGCAGUCGAUACGAGCAAACUAGAGUGUUGCAGGGGAGACUGGAAUUCCUGGUGUAGCGGUGAAAUGCGCAGAUAUCAGGAGGAACACCGGUGGCGAAGGCGGGUCUCUGGGCAACAACCGACGCUGAGGAGCGAAAGCGUGGGGAGCGAACAGG
rnacentral:rRNA from 1 species